rnacentral:rRNA from 1 species
GACGAACCGUGCGAACGUUGUUCGGAAUCACUGGGCGUAAAGCGCACGUAGGCGGACUCUUAAGUCGGUGGUGAAAUCCUGGAGCUCAACUCCAGAACUGCCUUCGAUACUGGGAGUCUCGAGUCCGGGAGAGGUGAGUGGAACUGCGAGUGUAGAGGUGAAAUUCGUAGAUAUUCGCAAGAACACCAGUGGCGAAGGCGGCUCACUGGCCCGGUACUGACGCUGAGGUGCGAAAGCGUGGGGAGCAAACAGG